AAUUUAAAAUGAAAUUAUAUAUCCAUAUAAUUGAUACCACAAAUCAAUAUUUUAAUUAAAUUAUUUAAAU
rnacentral:tRNA from 1 species